UUUUAUAUGGAGAGACGGUGCAUAUGUUUUAAUAGAAACGUAUCGACAUUCGAACGUGUAAAACAAAUAAAGUAAUUACAGAAAUUCUAGUUUUCAUAGACGAAUUGUGUCCCUGAGAGACCAGUCUUACGUGCUCUAUCCAGUUUAACCUUCUACAGGGUCGUAUUGCUGAUGAUCGAGUUUGACCUACAUUUAACUGGCUAACUGGUAACACAACCACGGGUUUAGUUAAAUGCCAAAAAAGUAACGCAUGCGCAAGUAUGGUGUACGAAACAACCCACCUCACCGUUUCAACUUUGACCUUUUAAGUCAGAUAGAUUCGACACUACAAGAUACAAGAUUAAUCCAAUACAUCCCACUUAAUAAUUAUUAUUCUGUCUUUUUAUUGGAACAGUAUGCAGGAAAAAUCAGUUUGUUUUCGUUCCCCCCUCUGGAUCGAUAUAACGAACUGUUUUAGAUAACAACUAGAGUAAACACAUCAAAAAUAAAUCUAGUUUCCUGAAUAAGUAGUAAUAUGCUCGAUGUAUUCUAGAUCGAAAGAACACGUGAAGGGUCUUUUUUUUUCGUUUCGAUGAUAAAGAAAUUGAUUAUGUUAAUGCCUUGGUAAAGCAUAUGUUUAUGUACAGUGGUUACCCGUUUGGGUAUUAAUUGUUACUUAGUAUAGCAACGUAGGUUUGCGAGUGCAAGGGUCGAAUCUACAAGGACGUUGUGGUAAAUAACUGGUUUCUAUUAUAAUAUGCUUGGACGAGUUUUGUCGUAUCUAUUUUUCGACUCGAAUUUUUUAAUUAUCGCCCAAACUAAAAUUGGGCUAUAUAGCAACGAAACGUGACGAAAAAUUGCAUUCGCAUCAUUAAAAAAACCCUUUGCUAGACUUGAAGCACUCGUCUUUAUGCAAAAUCUUCAGAAUUUAUGGAUUUUUCUUCGAAGGAACGAAAAUUAAAUUUUGAUAUGGAAUUGGUUGAAAUCAUGAAGGAGAAAUUGAUUUAACAGCGUGCAGAAUUGAAUAAAUUAAUCUUGAACUUCUCGAAAUCAGUGUGAGUUGAAGACGUUUCGAAAAAUGGUAUCCUCAUUAAGAAUUUCCUUCUUGUAGACUCUGUUGGAAAAAUGUUUUCUUCGUCGUUGGGUGUCCUGUUAACUAGAUCAAGGAAGUUACCUGGAUCCUUAUUCGCAUUCUUUUUUCCAUCUUGAUGGUUUUCUGAAUGCAAAAGAACUUCAAGAAUGUUUUCGUUAAUUAUUCCUAUCCUGAUAUUAAAAUGAAAAUGUUUUUUCUUCCUUCGAAAAAUCCUAGUUUCGAAUUCGUUGAAUUCAUUCUGCCAAAGUUAACAUUUACAGGAAGUAUUGCAGAUAGCCGCAGGUUGUAUCGUUACUAUUGGCUAUUUUGUUUUCACGUGACAGUUUUGGUGUACCGACGUCACGGGUCUGUUCCUCCGACGGAGUUCAGUCCGACUCUCGGCUCCAUUCGUUUCAGUUAUGUGAGAUGCAAUGUUGCUAUGGAAACUGAUUGGUCGCACGUGACUCCUCACGAUGUUAUCUGGUUAAAGGAUUAUCGUCGAUGUGGACCCCUGCGACACUCAUCUUCGAAACGUACUCAACAUUUAGACGAAGUUCAAAGGUCGGCAAAAGUCGGGCGAUCGGAGCCAUCCUCUUCCGAGUCUUCGCGCACCUGGAGGGAUCUAGUAAUUGGAGAUAAUGAAGGAAUUCGAUUAUCACGUUCGACCAGAAGAACUCUGGAUCGUGUGGCACUCUACCAUCAAGAUUUUCCGGAGCCGAGAGCAUUCUCUCUAGAACGAGUCACAUCCGACAAACCUAGAAGAGGAGGUAGAAAAAAUCAUCACACACCUCCUCGUGAUUAUGGAAGAAAAAUCAGCUCGGGCCAGCCGCCUGAUCACCUGUCUUGCCCUCAUUGGCCCCCUAUCAAGCAGCUCCGGUCGUAUUCGGUGGAUGCUGGUGGUCAGCCGUUAAUAGGCCUUCGACAACGGAUAGUAGGUGCAAAUGCUGCCGUUAAGAAGACGCCUGUUCGACGUUUGGAUGAGGAAGCACUAAAACGUUCACGUCUACAUGCAAAUCAGUAUGAAUUGUCACAAGAUUUGUUGGAUAAGCAGGUAGAAAUGUUAGAAAGAAAAUAUGGCGGAGUCAGAGCGAGAGAUGCUGCCCUUACCAUCCAACGUGCCUUUCGCAAAUAUUGUAUGAUGAAACGAUUUCGCGAUAUAGCAAAUGCUUCCAAAGGUGAAAAAAGGUUAUCCAGACGUUUUUAUAAUUUAGAAGCAGAAGGAAAAGAUUGGAUACAUUAUAAUGGUUCCUCUAAUCAUCAUUGUCAACAGAAAAAUUUAGUUUAUAAUGAAGAAACAAUGGUUUCUAAUGUAUCUGGUAGUACACAUUCCAAUCCAUGUGUUGAUACAAGGGUCAAAAACAAUUUCUCAACUUUAUAUAGAGAGUUAAGUGAAUCUGUGAGUGAUAAUAAAUAUCCAUCAAAACAAAAUCGAGUUGUGGGUAAUAGAGAACAGCAGAUGUCAGAAAUUGAUAGGACUAGAAUGGAUAAAAUAACAAAAACCAAAGAUAUUUUAUCUCAUGGAGCACCUCCUUGUCCAGGAAGGAUGGAAAGUGAUGUUCUACAUUUAACAAAAACUACUGAUGUAUGUACAAAAUCUGAGCUGCAAGAGGCUGGUACUCCUUUAGAAAGCAGCAUGUAUCAUACACCACCUUCACGACUACCCCCCUCUGUUCCUCGCCAUCCGGCGUGGUCUGCUGUAUCACCGUGUACAAGUGCCGGAAUUAGACAGAGUUCAGGUCCUACAAUUUAUUUAAGUCCUAGUCAAAACAGUUCCUCUGCAGAAGACCAAUAUCACACUCCCCGUGAAUCGUUAUCAUCAGAAGAUAGUGCAAUAAGUUCGGCUGGUCCAGGUGAAUGUGAUUCUUUAAGUGAUGAUCAUCGCUCUCUCUGUCGUGAUUGCUAUGCCAGACGUUCCAUAAAUGUUCCAUUAAGCAGUACAAAAGAUCAAGUAAUCGGUAUGCAUCAUACAAUAUCCAGGCCAGAUAUUACAGGUAGAAAAAUAAUUGCACCUGCUGGAGAUCUUAGAAAAAGCAUUCCUCGUCUUCCAAGGAGGACUCCUUCUGCUUCAGCUAAAUGGAGUGAUAGUCCUUCAGAAAUAAGUCCUCAUAAUAAUUUUGAUAGUUCUCAUGUGUCACAUGAACAUGGAGUCGAAGUUUCUCCUGUGUGGAAACGGAAAUCUCUAGUCUUAUCUGAGCAAAUUGCUUCGGGUAGUAAUGAAGACAAACGGUUAAGCAAUAUUUCAGAAAAUAGUGAAGAUAGUUUGGAAGGAAUGGGUUAUUCCAAUUCACUUCCAACUGCAGAUAUGUAUUCUCCUCAUGGCUAUGGAGAACCUGGUGCUCGAAUCUCUGGUAGUGAGCUUCAUCAAUCAGCUUCAGGUUUUAAAGUCUCUGAAAUUCAAAGGAAGCGUCAAUACCGAGUAGGACUUAAUCUUUUUAAUAAGAAACCUGAAAGAGGAGUACGAUACCUAAUUCAACGAGGAUUUUUAGAAGCCUCACCUCAAGCUGUUGCAAGAUUUCUUGUCUCUCGUAAAGGAUUGAGCAAACAAAUGAUUGGAGAAUAUCUUGGAAAUUUGCAAAAUCCUUUCAAUAUGGCUGUUCUAGAAUGUUUCGUACAAGAAUUAGAUUUAGCAGGAAUGCAAGUAGAUGUUGCACUUAGGAAAUUUCAGACCUUUUUCAGAAUGCCAGGUGAAGCUCAAAAAAUUGAGAGAUUAGUAGAAGUAUUUAGCCACAGAUAUAUAGAAUGCAAUCGAGACAUUGUUGCUAAAUUACAAAAUGCUGAUACUGUGUUUGUACUUGCCUUUGCUAUUAUAAUGUUAAAUACUGAUUCUCAUACACCAAAUAUGAAAGCUGAAAAAAGAAUGAAACUUGAAGACUUUAUUAAAAAUCUCAGAGGUGUGGAUGAUGGAAAUGAUUUGGACAGGGAUAUGCUUGUUGGUAUAUAUGAAAGAAUUAAAGGAAAUGAAUUUAAGCCAGGAUCUGAUCAUGUAACUCAAGUUCUCAAAGUUCAACAAACAAUUGUUGGUAAAAAACCGAAUCUAGCUCUUCCUCAUCGUCGGUUGGUUUGUUAUUGUCGUCUGUACGAGGUUUAUGAUGUGAAUAAAAAAGAAAGACCUGGCAUUCAUCAGAGGGAAGUGUUUCUUUUUAAUGAUAUGCUAAUGGUAACUAAAAUUUUUAGUAAGAAGAAAAACAGUGUUACUUACACUUUCAGACAAUCUUUUCCAUUAUGUGGAAUGAGUGUCACAUUAUUUGAAGCACCUUAUUAUCCACAUGGAAUCAGAUUGAGCCAAAGAGUGGAUGAUAAAGUGUUGAUUACAUUUAAUGCGAGAAAUGAACAUGAUCGAUCAAAAUUUGUUGAAGAUUUGAAGGAGUCUAUCUUAGAGAUGGAUGAAAUGGAAAAUCUUAGAAUAGAAGCAGAAUUAGAAAAACAAAAAGUAAUGAGGGCAAGAGGAGCAGAAAACAGAGAUUCUGGAGUGGCAGAUAUGGAAAUUGUUCCAGUAGCAAAUAAGGAAGGAAAAUUAUCUCCUGAUAGUCAGUCAAAUAAUUUAAAACGUUCAGCUUUAUCAAAUUCAUUGCUUGAUUUACAUGAACAACAAGCUAAACCAGUCAGAAGAGGAAGUGCCGGUUCAUUAGAUAGUGGAAUGCAUGCUGUAGGAGGACAGGAAUAGUUCUCAUUGUCAUAAUUCUGUUUGAUCCCAUCACAACAGUUUGACCGACCAGUGUCUUCUACGGCUAGUACGGUCAGUCACGACUCUUCUCCCC
rnacentral:misc_RNA from 1 species